rnacentral:rRNA from 1 species
AAAGGAGAAAUCCGCUGAGGGAUGGGCUCACGUCUGAUUAGUUAGUUGGUGAGGUAACGGCUCACCAAGACUGCGAUCAGUAGCCGGACUGAGAGGUUGAACGGCCACAUUGGGACUGAGAUACGGCCCAGACUCCUACGGGAGGCAGCAGUGGGGAAUAUUGGGCAAUGGGCGAAAGCCUGACCCAGCAACGCCGCGUGAAGGAAGAAGGCCUUCGGGUUGUAAACUUCUUUUAAGAGGGACGAAGAAGUGACGGUACCUCUUGAAUAAGCCACGGCUAACUACGUGCCAGCAGCCGCGGUAAUACGUAGGUGGCGAGCGUUAUCCGGAUUUACUGGGUGUAAAGGGCGCGUAGGCGGGAAUGCAAGUCAGAUGUGAAAUCCAGGGGCUUAACCCUUGAACUGCAUUUGAAACUGUAUUUCUUGAGUGUCGGAGAGGUUGACGGAAUUCCUAGUGUAGCGGUGAAAUGCGUAGAUAUUAGGAGGAACACCAGUGGCGAAGGCGGUCAACUGGACGAUAACUGACGCUGAGGCGCGAAAGCGUGGGGAGCAAACAGGAUUAGAUACCCUGGUAGUCCACGCCGUAAAC